rnacentral:rRNA from 1 species
UACAGAGGUGGCAAGCGUUGUUCGGAAUUACUGGGCGUAAAGGGCGCGUAGGCGGCCUUCUAAGUCAGACGUGAAAUCCCCAGGCUCAACCUGGGAACUGCAUCCGAUACUGGAUGGCUUGAAUUCGGGAGAGGGAUGCAGAAUUCCAGGUGUAGCGGUGAAAUGCGUAGAUAUCUGGAGGAAUACCGGUGGCGAAGGCGGCAUCCUGGACCGACAUUGACGCUGAGGAGCGAAAGCCAGGGGAGCAAACGGG